AUGGUCCACUUCAGCACCAGUCGAAAAUCACCGCAAACCUCGGACAGUCUUUUCUUCCUCAAAUAGGGAGAAAACGAGAUGCUUCGAUACUUUGUGGCCCGAUUCAACGCGGCCAUACUUGAGGUCUAGGACCUCAACGAAGACAUGGCUAUCUCAGCCAUGAAGAGGAGACUAAGGGGGUCCCGAUUCAUCUAUUCCUUGGACAAGACCCUCCCCCGG
rnacentral:lncRNA from 1 species